GACGAACGCUGGCGGCGUGCUUAACACAUGCAAGUCGAACGGAAAGGCCCUGCUUUUGUGGGGUGCUCGAGUGGCGAACGGGUGAGUAACACGUGAGUAACCUCCCCUUGACUUUUGAAUAACUUCAGGAAACUGGGGCUAAUACCGGAUAGGAGCUCCUGCUCCAUGGUGGGGGUUGGAAAGUUUCGGCGGUUGGGGAUGGACUCGCGGCUUAUCAGCUUGUUGGUGGGGGAGUGGCUUACCAAGGCUUUGACGGGUAGCCGGCCUGAGAGGGUGACCGGCCACAUUGGGACUGAGAUACGGCACAGACUACUACGGGAGGCAGCGGUGGGGAAUGUUGCACAAUGGGCGGAAGCCUGAUGCAGCAACGCAGCGUGCGGGAUGACGGCAAUCGGGUUGUAAACCGCUUUCGCCUGGGACGAAGCGAGAGUGACGGUAAUGGGUAAAGAAGCACCGGCUAACUACGUG
rnacentral:rRNA from 1 species